GAAGUGCGAACCAAGCAAGCGCCCCGGCGCUGCAAGACUUGGAGCGGACGAGCGCAAGCACGUCCUACA
ncrna:unclassified sequences Transposase-2 RNA